GCUUACGGCCAUACCACCCUGAACACGCGAUCUCGUCCGAUCUCGGAAGCUAAGCAGGGUCGGGCCUGGUUAGUACUUGGAUGGGAGACCGCCUGGGAAUACCAGGUGCUGUAAGCU
ensembl:rRNA 5S_rRNA 5S ribosomal RNA